rnacentral:rRNA from 1 species
AUUGAACGCUGGCGGCAUGCUUUACACAUGCAAGUCGAACGGUAACAGGUUAAGCUGACGAGUGGCGAACGGGUGAGUAAUGCAUCGGAACGUGCCCGAUCGUGGGGGAUAACGUAGCGAAAGUUACGCUAAUACCGCAUACGAUCUGAGGAUGAAAGCGGGGGACCGUAAGGCCUCGCGCGAUCGGAGCGGCCGAUGUCAGAUUAGGUAGUUGGUGGGGUAAAGGCCCACCAAGCCGACGAUCUGUAGCUGGUCUGAGAGGACGACCAGCCACACUGGGACUGAGACACGGCCCAGACUCCUACGGGAGGCAGCAGUGGGGAAUUUUGGACAAUGGGCGCAAGCCUGAUCCAGCAAUGCCGCGUGCAGGAAGAAGGCCUUCGGGUUGUAAACUGCUUUUGUACGGAGCGAAAAGGCUCUCUCUAAUACAGGGGGCUCAUGACGGUACCGUAAGAAUAAGCACCGGCUAACUACGUGCCAGCAGCCGCGGUAAGAC